rnacentral:rRNA from 1 species
UACGUAGGUGGCAAGCGUGUUCGGAAUUAUUGGGCGUAAAGGGCGCGUAGGCGGUUUGCUAAGUCAGUUGUGAAAGCCCCGGGGCUCAACCCCGGAGGGUCGGCUGAUACUGGUGGACUAGAGUACGGAAGAGGUAGCUGGAAUUCCCGGUGUAGCGGUGAAAUGCGUAGAUAUCUGGAGGAACACCGGUGGCGAAGGCGGCAUCCUGGACCGACACUGACACUGAGGA